GACGAACGCUGGCGGCGCGCUUAACACAUGCAAGUCGAGCGAAGCGGCGGACGGGUGAGUAACACGUGAGUAAACUGCAUUAGACAUUGGGAUAGCCUCGGGAAACCGGGAUUAAUACCAAAUGGUCUAAGAUGGACUCGCGUCCCAUUAGCAAGUUGGUGAGGUAACGGCCCACCAAGGCGAUGCUGGGUAGGCGGCCUGAGAGGGGGACCGGCCACAUUUGAACUGAAAAACGGUCCAAACUCUACGGGAGGCAGCAGUGGGGAAUAUUGCACAACGGCGGGAACUCUGAUGCAGCGACGCCGCGUGAACGAAGAAGGCUUUCGAGUUGUAAAGUUCUUUUAUAUGGGAAGCGGUACCAUAAGAAUAAGCCCCGGCUAACUACGUGCCAGCAGCCGCGGUAAUUC
rnacentral:rRNA from 1 species